CAUGUAUUAUAUUGAAUCCGUCAUAUUUAAAUGAAUAAUGGCAAUAGUGUUACGAAUAAUAAAGUAUAAUUAUUUGGCAGCCAAAUCAACGACCGCGUGCACCGACUGUGCAUGUACAGGUAGGUAUUCCCGUUGGAUACAAGUUGUUCUAAAACUGCGUUUAGAGACCUAAACACCGCGUCGAAAGAAACAACUAAUUAUCAAUCGCGUUGAUGUGUAUCGUUUACGUAUCCAUAUAAAACUGCUGAACAAGAUGGAACCGGCAGUGUCGACCUUGUGACCGAUUUUUCAACGGGUCUCACGAAAUAAAAACUGUUCGCGAUUCGAUUUUGCGUUGUUUAUUUAUUAAUCCACCGUAAAACGUAAUAGGCAAAACGUUAAACGCAGUGUAUACACAGGUAGGU